rnacentral:rRNA from 1 species
UACGUAGGUGGCAAGCGUUGUCCGGAAUUAUUGGGCGUAAAGCGCGCGCAGGCGGUCUUUUAAGUCUGAUGUGAAAGCCCACGGCUCAACCGUGGACGGUCAUUGGAAACUGGGAGACUUGAGUACAGAAGAGGAGAGUGGAAUUCCACGUGUAGCGGUGAAAUGCGUAGAUAUGUGGAGGAACACCAGUGGCGAAGGCGGCUCUCUGGUCUGUAACUGACGCUGAGGCGCGAAAGCGUGGGGAGCAAACAGG